rnacentral:piRNA from 1 species
UCCUGAUCUGAAGAAAGCUCAGUCUUUCCUU